rnacentral:rRNA from 1 species
GAUGAACGCUGGCGGCGUGCCUAAUACAUGCAAGUCGAGCGAAGCGGGGACGGGUGAGUAACACGUGGAUAACCUCCUCUAAGACUGGGAUAACUUCGGGAAACCGGAGCUAAACCGGAUACUUAUCGAUGGAUCGGCGCUGCAUUAGCUAGUGGGUAAGUUAACGGCUUACCAAGGCAACGAUGCAUAGCCGACCUGAGAGGGUGAACGGCCACCCUGGAACUGAGACACGGUCCAGACUCCUACGGGAGGCAGCAGUAGGGAAUCUUCCGCAAUGGGCGAAAGCCUGACGGAGCAAUGCCGCGUGAGUGAUGAAGGGCUGCGGGUCGUAAAGCUCUGUUAUUAGGGAGGCGGUACCUAAUCAGAAAGCCCCGGCUAACUACGUGCCAGCAGCCGCGGUAAUUC